rnacentral:rRNA from 1 species
GAUGAACGCUGGCGGCGUGCCUAAUACAUGCAAGUCGAGCGAACGGACGAGAAGCUUGCUUCUCUGAUGUUAGCGGCGGACGGGUGAGUAACACGUGGAUAACCUACCUAUAAGACUGGGAUAACUUCGGGAAACCGUAGCUAAUACCGGAUAAUAUUUUGAACCGCAUGGUUCAAAAGUGAAAGACGGUCUUGCUGUCACUUAUAGAUGGAUCCGCGCUGCAUUAGCUAGUUGGUAAGGUAACGGCUUACCAAGGCAACGAUGCAUAGCCGACCUGAGAGGGUGAUCGGCCACACUGGAACUGAGACACGGUCCAGACUCCUGCGGGAGGCAGCAGUAGGGAAUCUUCCGCAAUGGGCGAAAACCUGACGGAGCAACGCCGCGUGAGUGAUGAAGGUCUUCGGAUCGUAAAACUCUGUUAUUAGGGAAGAACAUAUGUGUAAGUAACUGUGCACAUCUUGACGGUACCUAAUCAGAAAGCCACGGCUAACUACGUG